GGUUCAAUAGCUCAAAGGUAGAGCAUAGGAUUCAUAAGCCUCAGGUCACAAGUUCAAAUCUUGUUUGAACCA
rnacentral:tRNA from 1 species